CUAUAGGCUACUGCAGCACUGGGGUGUCAGUUGUUGGUCCCACCCAGAACGCUUCAGUUCUGCUCUGCAAGGAUAUAUAAUAACUGAUUGGUGUGCCCAUUUAAUAAAAGAAUAUGUAAACUGAACAGCCGGAAGAAACCUUCCCGAACACUGAAACCAAUGGUGAAUUUGGUAAACACCCUGCAGAAGAUAUGGAAGAGUAACAAGCAUUUAAAAGAUCUAGAAACACUGAUGAGAUGGUUGAAUUACGCAUUCUGCUUCAGACCAAGAAUGCUGGGGCAGUGAUUGGAAAAGGAGGCAAGAAUAUCAAGGCUCUCCGUACAGACUACAAUGCCAGUGUUUCAGUCCCAGACAGCAGUGGCCCCGAGCACAUAUUGAGUAUCAGUGCUGGUAUUGACACAAUUGGAGAAAUUCUGAAGAAAAUCAUCCCUACCUUGGAAGAGGGCCUGCAGUUUCCAUCACCCACUGCAACCAGCCAGCUGCCGCUCGAAUCUGUUGCUGUGGAAUGCUUAAGUUACCAACACUAUAAAGGAAGUGACUUUGACUGCGAGUUGAGGCUGUUGAUUCAUCAGAGUCUAGCAGGAGGAAUUAUUGGGGUCGAAGGUGCUAAAAUCAAAGAACUUCGAGAGAACACUCAAACCACCAUCAAGCUUUUCCAGGAAUGCUGUCCUUAUUCCACUGACAAGAGUUGUUCUUAUUGGAGGAAAACCCGAUAGGGUUGUAGAGUGCAUAAAGAUCAUCCUUGAUCUUAUAUAUGAGUCUCCCAUCAAAGGACGUGCACAGCCUUAUGAUCCCAAUUUUUAUGAUGAAACCUAUGAUUAUGGUGGUUUUACAAUUAUGUUUGAUGACCGCUGUGGACGCCCAGUGGGAUUUCCCAUGCGGGGAAGAGGUGGUUUUGACAGAAUGCCUCCUGGUCAGGGUGGGCGUCCCAUGCCUCCAUCUAGAAGAGAUUAUGAUGAUAUGAGCCCUCGUCAAGGACCACCUCCACCUCCUCCAGGACAAGGUGGUGAGGGUGGUAGCAGAGCUCGGAAUCUUCCUCUUCCUCCUCCACCACCACCUAGAGGGGGAGACCUCAUGGCCUAUGACAGAAGAGGGAGACCUGGAGACUGUUACCAUGGCAUGGUUGGUUUCAGUGCUGAUGAAACUUGGGACUCUGCAAUAGAUACAUGGAGCCCAUCAGAAUGGCAGAUGGCUUAUGAACCACAGGGUGGCUCCAGAUAUGAUUAUUCCUAUGCAGGGGGUCGUGGCUCAUAUGGUAAUCUUGGUGGACUUAUUAUUACUACACAAGUAACGAUUCCCAAAGAUUUGGCUGGAUCUAUUAUUGGCAAAGGUGGUCUGCAGAUUAAACAAAUCCGUCAUGAGUCGGGAGCUUCGAUCAAAAUUGAUGAGCCUUUAGAAGG
rnacentral:lncRNA from 1 species